GACAGCCUUCUGAAAGGAAGAUUAAUACAAGAUGGCAUCAUGAGUCCGCAUGUUCACAUGAUUAAAGGUAUUCCGGUAGACGAUGGGGAUGCGUUCCAUUAGAUAGUAGGCGGGGUAACGGCCCACCUAGUCUUCGAUGGAUAGGGGUUCUGAGAGGAAGGUCCCCCACAUUGGAACUGAGACACGGUCCAAACUCCUACGGGAGGCAGCAGUGAGGAAUAUUGGUCAAUGGGCGAGAGCCUGAACCAGCCAAGUAGCGUGAAGGAUGACUGCCCUAUGGGUUGUAAACUUCUUUUAUAAAGGAAUAAAGUCGGGUAUGGAUACCCGUUUGCAUGUACUUUAUGAAUAAGGAUCGGCUAACUCCGUGCCAGCAGCCGCGGUAAUACGGAGGAUCCGAGCGUUAUCCGGAUUUAUUGGGUUUAAAGGGAGCGUAGAUGGAUGUUUAAGUCAGUUGUGAAAGUUUGCGGCUCAACCGUAAAAUUGCAGUUGAUACUGGAUAUCUUGAGUGCAGUUGAGGCAGGCGGAAUUCGUGGUGUAGCGGUGAAAUGCUUAGAUAUCACGAAGAACUCCGAUUGCGAAGGCAGCCUGCUAAGCUGCAACUGACAUUGAGGCUCGAAAGUGUGGGUAUCAAACAGGAUUAGAUACCCUGGUAGUCCACACGGUAAACGAUGAAUACUCGCUGUUUGCGAUAUACUGCAAGCGGCCAAGCGAAAGCGUUAAGUAUUCCACCUGGGGAG
rnacentral:rRNA from 1 species